rnacentral:rRNA from 1 species
ACGAACGCUGGCGGCGUGCUUAACACCUGCAAGUCGCACGGAAAGGCCCUGCUUUUGUGGGGUGCUCGAGUGGCGAACGGGUGAGUAACACGUGAGUAACCUGCCCUUGACUUUGGGAUAACUUCAGGAAACUGGGGCUAAUACCGGAUAGGAGCUCCUGCUGCAUGGUGGGGGUUGGAAAGUUUCGGCGGUUGGGGAUGGACUCGCGGCUUAUCAGCUUGUUGGUGGGGUAGUGGCUUACCAAGGCUUUGACGGGUAGCCGGCCUGAGAGGGUGGCCGGCCACAUUGGGACUGAGAUACGGCCCAGACUCCUACGGGAGGCAGCAGUGGGGAAUAUUGCACAAUGGGCGGAAGCCUGAUGCAGCAACGCCGCGUGCGGGAUGACGGCCUUCGGGUUGUAAACCGCUUUCGCCUGUGACGAAGCGUGAGUGACGGUAAUGGGUAAAGAAGCACCGGCUAACUACGUG